UCGUAUCAAGACAGUUUUUUCAACCCCUAGCCCAUCCAGUCCAGAUAUAUGGGCUUUAGAGAAUCCAACAACUGCCAGUGGUGUGACCUUGGAAAAUUACCUACAAUUUCUAUGCUCCUGUUUUCUCAAGUGUAAAGUGGGAAAAUAAGAUCUACCUCAUGGAUCUGCUGUGAGGACUAAAUGAGGUAAUACAUACAAACUAGCACAACUCCAGACACAUAGUAAGCUGUGUCAACCAUCAAAGGGUUUAAAGCAACGGGACAAAAGGAUUUUCUUUUCUUUUUGGGGCACUUUAGUUCUGUGUUCACAUAUUUCUCUUUGCUCCCCCAAGGGCUGUCAUGAUGCCUUUUCUCUACCCAGCUCUCACUGUCUCCCACUGGCAUUCAGAACCCAGAAGGGAGACUCUAAAGAGCUCCAAGGUGGGUAGGACAGAGUCUGUAUUCCCAGGUACCAGGAAGAGUGGCCUGAAGGUCCAGCCACCUCUUGGUCACUAAAAAUGCAGAUGCUGCUCAGUACCCCAGCCUAAAGGCUCUAGACAUGAGCACAACCCAUGGAAAAGAAGGCAGGAAAAGGAAUGGCAGUGGAGGGGAGUGCCCAGGAAAUGAGAAUCGGAAUACUCAGCAAAUAAGGCAGAAGGGGCAAACCAAAAGCAUCCUCUGUCCUAGGAAAAGGUGGACAUGUUCAGCACUUCAAACUCCUCCACCCUCUCUGUUCCAUCCUUCUGAGCCCAGCAGGCAGGGUUGAGCUGGGUAGACAUUUACUGCUCCACAUUGAUGCUAUCUGCUCAGCACUUAGCCCAGCUUUCAUCAGCCCUCCAAGGCACCACAAGACUCUAAUUGUACUUCUCACCAGAAACACACUCCUGCCCAUUUCACUGAUGGACAAGCACAGCACUCGCCCUCAUCCUGAGGAAAACAAGUAGAAGAGAUUUGCCAAGUCACGAAGCCUGGGGUAAACAAAGACACAGAGGCAGCAGUGGACCCUGCUUGGAUGCAUAACUGGAACUUGAGGUCAAGGACUGACGCUACUUCAGACUUCUGAUCUGAAAAAUAAAGGAGAUGCUAAUUAUCACCAAUAUCAUCCCCAUCAUCAUCGUCCCCAUCACUGUCUCCAUCCUCAUCCCUACCAUCAUCACCAUCCCCAUCAUCAUCCCUACCAUCAUCAUCAUCCAAUUGUGGGAUCAUCCCAACGCACACACAUGUUAGUACCUGUUUCACACGUCUUCUCUAUGAUGCACUGGUUCAAUAAGCCUUUGUGAAUGGAAGCCGGAAGAGAACAUACCAAGGUCGAAUACCACAUCACAGGCUCUCCUACCACUCAGUGCCUCUGGGACUCUUAUCAGCCUGGGCACGAGAUGCUCACCAGCCUUACGUGGAGCAGCUGUGUGAGGAUACAGUCAGCUGUGAGGGUGUUUUACAAACCCGGGCAGCCUGUUAAUACUCAGAUAUGUGCUCCCCAGACAUCACUCACCUCGGAGGCAGGGGAGGGGUUUUCUCAGGCCUCACCUGUGUUUCCCAAUCGGGAACACUCUCUCUAGAGCUUGAAUGGAAGCUCCAUGAGGGUAUGGAGUUUUGUCUGUUUUGUUCAUUUCUGUAUCCUCAGUACAAAGCACAUAGUAGACGGU
rnacentral:lncRNA from 1 species